GCGUGAGUGAUGAAGGCCUUAGGGUUGUAAAGCUCUUUCAGCGGGGAAGAUAAUGACGGUACCCGCAGAAGAAGCCUCGGCUAACUCCGUGCCAGCAGCCGCGGUAAUACGGAGGAGGCUAGCGUUGUUCGGAAUUACUGGGCGUAAAGCGUGCGUAGGCGGUUUUCUAAGAUGAGUGUGAAAGCCCGGAGCUCAACUCCGGAACUGCGCUCAUGACUGGAAUACUGGAGUCCGAGAGAGGUGAGUGGAAUUCCCAGUGUAGAGGUGAAAUUCGU
rnacentral:rRNA from 1 species